rnacentral:lncRNA from 1 species
UUCAGAAAUAAUAACAGUAACAAUCAAGCAAAACAUGCAGCAUCUACAAGCGAGUACAUAAAAUCACAUUUCAACAAAAUAUUUCCGCAGCUCAGCUUUGGUAUAUCCUAUUGUAUGUUUAUACGUGUUUAGAACAUGGGGCAGGUUAUAAGACAACAUUUGUAAUGUAUAAUUAGUGGGAAAACGUGGUAUAUUCCAUAUAUUAGUAGUUCUGAUGUUAGCACGACGCAUGUCCAAAGAUGCCAGAGUAGAAUAAAAAUUGGCAAUGGAUGCCGUCGAAAAAUACAUUUUUUGUAACAACUUAAUGUUAUACAAAUGCUUGACUCGGACAAUGUUAUGUGCUUCAAAGGCAUACUUGGAGGUAGUUGUAUUAUCAAGAUUGGCGAUUAUUCGAACAAUUUUCUUUUGCAAUACGAGAACUUUAUUUACGUUUGUUUUGGUAAUUGUGGCCCAUACUAAACUGCACAUGUACAUUGUACAUGAC